ACGAACGCUGGCGGCGUGCCUAAUACAUGCAAGUCGAACGCUUCUUUUUCCACCGGAGCUUGCUCCACCGGGAAAAGAGGAGUGGCGAACGGGUGAGUAACACGUGGGUAACCUGCCCAUCAGAAGGGGAUAACACUUGGAAACAGGUGCUAAUACCGUAUAACAAUCGAAACCGCAUGGUUUUGAUUUGAAAGGCGCUUUCGGGUGUCGCUGAUGGAUGGACCCGCGGUGCAUUAGCUAGUUGGUGAGGUAACGGCUCACCAAGGCGACGAUGCAUAGCCGACCUGAGAGGGUGAUCGGCCACAUUGGGACUGAGACACGGCCCAAACUCCUACGGGAGGCAGCAGUAGGGAAUCUUCGGCAAUGGACGAAAGUCUGACCGAGCAACGCCGCGUGAGUGAAGAAGGUUUUCGGAUCGUAAAACUCUGUUGUUAGAGAAGAACAAGGAUGAGAGUAACUGUUCAUCCCUUGACGGUAUCUAACCAGAAAGCCACGGCUAACUACGUGCCAGCAGCCGCGGUAAUACGUAGGUGGCAAGCGUUGUCCGGAUUUAUUGGGCGUAAAGCGAGCGCAGGCGGUUUCUUAAGUCUGAUGUGAAAGCCCCCGGCUCAACCGGGGAGGGUCAUUGGAAACUGGGAGACUUGAGUGCAGAAGAGGAGAGUGGAAUUCCAUGUGUAGCGGUGAAAUGCGUAGAUAUAUGGAGGAACACCAGUGGCGAAGGCGGCUCUCUGGUCUGUAACUGACGCUGAGGCUCGAAAGCGUGGGGAGCAAACAGGAUUAGAUACCCUGGUAGUCCAUGCCGUAAACGAUGAUUACUAGGUGUUGGGGGAUUGACCCCCUCAGUGCCGCAGUUAACACAAUAAGUAAUCCACCUGGGGAGUACGACCGCAAGGUUGAAACUCAAAGGAAUUGACGGGGGCCCGCACAAGCGGUGGAGCAUGUGGUUUAAUUCGAAGCAACGCGAAGAACCUUACCAGGUCUUGACAUCCUUUGACCACUCUAGAGAUAGAGCUUCCCCUUCGGGGGCAAAGUGACAGGUGGUGCAUGGUUGUCGUCAGCUCGUGUCGUGAGAUGUUGGGUUAAGUCCCGCAACGAGCGCAACCCUUAUUGUUAGUUGCCAUCAUUUAGUUGGGCACUCUAGCAAGACUGCCGGUGACAAACCGGAGGAAGGUGGGGAUGACGUCAAAUCAUCAUGCCCCUUAUGACCUGGGCUACACACGUGCUACAAUGGGAAGUACAACGAGUCGCAAAGUCGCGAGGCUAAGCUAAUCUCUUAAAGCUUCUCUCAGUUCGGAUUGUAGGCUGCAACUCGCCUACAUGAAGCCGGAAUCGCUAGUAAUCGCGGAUCAGCACGCCGCGGUGAAUACGUUCCCGGGCCUUGUACACACCGCCCGUCACACCACGAGAGUUUGUAACACCCGAAGUCGGUGAGGUAACCUUUUGGAGCCAGCCGCCUAAGGUGGGAUAGAUGAUUGGGGUG
rnacentral:rRNA from 1 species